UACGUAGGGGGCAAGCGUUGUCCGGAUUUAUUGGGCGUAAAGAGCGUGUAGGCGGCCAAACAGGUCCACUGUGAAAACUCGAGGCUCAACCUCGAGAGGUCGGUGGAAACCGUCUGGCUAGAGUCCGGAAGAGGAGAGUGGAAUUCCCGGUGUAGCGGUGAAAUGCGUAGAUAUCGUAAGGAAGACCAGCGGCGAAGGCGGGUCUCUGGACAGUUCCUGACACUGAGGCACGAAGGCCAGGGGAGCAAACGGG
rnacentral:rRNA from 1 species